rnacentral:misc_RNA from 1 species
AAGUCGUAACAAGGUUUCCGUAGGUGAACCUGCGGAAGGAUCAUUAUUACGAGAUCAAAAUCGUAACCCUAGAAACAUUGUGCAUUUGUGUCAAAACUCCGGUUGCAUUUGACCUUUGUAUGGCUUUUGAUCCACACAUGCACACACUUUGUUGUGUCCGUGGGUGGAGCCACUUUCCGAGCAGAUGAAAGUGAAACACUCGCAAGGGUGUUUGGGCCUGUCAAAUGUUUUUAACCGGUUAUCUUCUAUCUGCUCACCUCAUCAAACAAACCAUUAACCCCAAGUAAAUAUUUUGAACUAAAUACAUCUGACUUGGACGACUUAACUGUUGUCCCUGUCUGAAUCUCAAAACCGAACUUAAGAACAACUCUUAACAACGGAUAUCUUGGUUCUC